rfam:Gossypium hirsutum cultivar TM-1 unplaced genomic scaffold scaffold4672.1, whole genome shotgun sequence
AUGUGUGAUCAUACCAGCAGUAAUGCACAGGAUCCCAUCAGAACUCCGUAGUUAAGCGUGCUUGUGAGAUAGUAGUACAAGGAUGGGUGACCUUCUUGGGAGGUCCUCGUGUUGCAACCU